rnacentral:lncRNA from 1 species
CUUGACAGCCCCAGGGGGAAUGACUUCUCACACUUUGGAGGCACCACAAACAACAAAAAUAUCUACCACUGACAAGUCCUACCUAUGCCCACACUGCUUAUAUUCAGCUCUUUAAUGACCUGUUGGUAAAUACCAACAUAUAGGGAUUCAUAUUGUGAAUAUAAAGUCAGACAGAGAUUAAUAAACAAUUGAGGGAAACUUCUGAAUAUGAUAAAAUGAAAGGGAAAAAGGUACACAGAGCAAACAGAGCCAAUUAAAAUAGAAGAAAAAUUGUAAUUAAUGUCUUUAGAAAUGAGAAGAUGUUAUAUCCAUAAAUAAGUAUAGGAUGCUAUGAAAAUGAAAUAAGCAAAAGAACGCUUGGAAUUUAUAAAUAAGCUACCAUAAAAAGUUAUCUAAGAAUUUGAAGAUAAUGUUAAAGAAAUCUCUCAGAAAAUAGUCUCCUCACUAGGUAGAGAGUCAUGGUGGUAGGAGUAAGUUGGAAGAAAAGCAACAUUUAAAAUACAGGAUUAAAUCAGAAAAACCGACAACUGCCAAACAGGAUUCUAAGGGGGAAAUGAACAAAAAAUAUUAUAGGAGAAAAUUACCACAGAAAAAAUAUAUAUAAUAUCCUCCUGAGAGAAGCACUAAGAGAUAGUGAGAAGUGAAACAUAAUAUUGUUUUCCUAACCAAAAAAAAAAAAUUAGUAUUAUUUGACUUUAAAAAAAAAAAAAAAGCUGGGCACGGUGGUGCACACCUGUAAUCCCAGCAGCUGAGGAGUCCCAGACAGGAGAAUCAAGAAUUCAAAGCCAGCUUCAACAACACCAAGGCUCUAAGCAACUCAGUGAGACCCUGUCUCUAAAUAAAAUACAAAAGAGGGCUGGGGAUGUGCCUCACUGGCUGAGCGCUCCUGAGAGUUCUGUUCCUAGUACCCUCCCAAAAAAAGACCCUCAGUUUCCUCCCCCAAAAUAUGUCCUUCAUUUCGGUGUUCUCUUUCUCUGCCAAAAUUAUUACCAAUUAUCUUACCAUUUUUUUCUAAAACAGUCCUGCAAGUUAUGCUUCUGAUGGAUCUUUCAAACAUCUCUCUCCAACCCUUUUGGCCUUGUCUGAUCCUCACUCACCUCUCCCUGAAAUAGUUCCACAGUCUUAUUACUGGUGGCUCUACCUUUGGUCUCUACCCAUCCAAACCAUCCUACUACAGGCAUGCUUUUGAAAGUUGUUCAUACCUGUAGUAACCUCCUGAAAAUACUGUUUUCCCUCUGAAACUUUGAGGCUUGAUACUGGUAGAUAGGUGUCUUCCCCACCUACCUUGUUUCCAAUAUUAUUUCCAAACAACUUCAUCCCCCCUUCUUCCUUCAAAACUGCUAGAUAUUCUGAAGAUUAUUUCAUCUGACCACACUAGCCCAUACUGUUCCUCUUGACUGUCAUUUGGCUAAGACAUGACCUCGCUUCACUGAAAUUCUAGUACCUGGCUUACUGUCUUCCUCUUUUCCACUACUUGUACCACAUUCUCAGCAAUUUUAG